rnacentral:lncRNA from 1 species
CUGCUGGGUUUGAACGGAAUGCCGGAGUCGGUGGAACUCGGAGCUAGUCCCCCCCGAAGGUUGGACUGGUUGCUGAUGGACGACUUCUAGCGGCGGCAGCAGCAGCGUCUUCAGACACCGUGCGGUGAUUCGCUCGCUUUACAAGCCUGCCCACCUUCCGCUUCCCCAUCGGAACACGAAGGGCCUAGGUCACUUGGCCGGUGAUUUCCUCGGUGCCCAGCCCAGUCCGCGGGGUGCAGUCUCCCUCUCCCUGCCGCUCACGACCCUCUCAGGGCUCCCAGCCGCGGAGGCGCUGGGGUGAAGCCCCCUCCUUGCUUCGUUUUCUAAAGUGCCUGCAAAUACAAAAGCGGUUCCGUAAUGCCUUCCGUCUGCGAGAGCCGGAGGACCUUGGCUGACCUUUCGGAAACUGAUUGCAACUGCCUGUUAACAGCCCGUACUGACCGCACUGAGCGGAGCGGAGGACAAUCAUUUAAGUGACAGACGGCGAGGUGGCCCCGGCUCAGUUGAGCGGCCUGGUUAAGCCCUCCCCUCCCCCCUCCCCAGCUACUCCCCCAGCUCCGGGUGCACUGCGGGCCGUGGCCAGCUCUCUGGAGAGCGGGGAGGGCGCACCGUGAGCGCCUGUGAGUGUGAGUGCGUGUCUGCGAUUAUGGGCCGAAGGGUUAACCCUUUGCAGAACGCCGCCGGGGUCCUUUGAAGCCGAGCGCUGCCGGCUUAAUCUGCCAUUUGCAGAAGAGGAAUAAAGAGGCUGCCUUGUCCUACUACCCCUAAUGGGUAAACUGUACUCUCUUAGCGUGACCCGGUCACUGUCCCUGCUGCUGCCGAGGAAAGAUCUCGACCCUUGGAUCUUCUGCCAUGGCGCUAUGUAACCUCCCUGCGCUUUCCUCUUUUUCCUCACAGAAACAAGGAACAGCGCGGGGACAGCGCAAAGCGUCCAAAGGCUUUAAGGUUGAAAACCUAAAACGGAUGACCCACCAAUUGGCCUGGGUCCACUGUGUUGCGGAAGAUGGAGGAGGGGAGCUGCAGAGAUUCGGGGUUUAUUUGUAUACCCUCAUCCUCCUGCGAUACCAAGCCAGCCAGAGGUGGCGUCCCUGACUGCUCUGCGGUCCUGGGCAGGGCAGGAAGCUGGCGCGGCCGCCGACUGGGCAGGCACCACUUGGCCUAGCCCGCUGUUCGCUGGAACUCGCGAAGCACCAUCACUCUGAGUUGAGUUCCCGAGACUCCGGCCUGGUCACCCUGAGCUGUUUUCCUCCCACAUCGUCAGUUGGCCUCUCUCGCAAGUCUCCUGAUCUCCCGCCAUCUGCUUUUCCCUUCCUUGACCGAUCUCUGGAACUUCGAAAUACAUUCAACCGCCUUUU